UUUCUUUAUUAGCAAAAACUUUAUAAUUUUAUAUUUACAAAAUUAUUCUUGUGAUGCCGCUAAUCUUAUCAUUCCGACCCUAUCUCAGUCGAGACUCAUCUCACACACCGAUACCAACUGUGCCGUCCCAACUUUUCAGGGAUCACCUAUCCUAAGACUACUUCCGUUCUAAUAUGCUUAACUCUCUUAUCCUCUUGGACCUUGCCACUAUCCAAAAUGCUUAAGUCAGAUUAAGAAUUUAAUCCUACUAUAUCGUUCUUAUAUGUAGGACUACUUGGGAUCUCAUAAUUCUAAUAUAUGUAAAAAAAAAAUAUUACUUAUAAAUUUUUACUUCUUUCUCUCUAAAAUUUAUUUUCAAUAACACUAUAUUUAUAAGAAAAAAAAUU
rnacentral:lncRNA from 1 species